UACAGAGGGUGCGAGCGUUAAUCGGAGUUACUGGGCGUAAAGGGCGCGUAGGCGGUUAUAUAAGUGAGAUGUGAAAUCCCUGGGCUUAACCUAGGAACUGCAUCUCAUACUGUAUGACUGGAGUAUUGUAGAGGGUAGUGGAAUUUCCGGUGUAGCGGUGAAAUGCGUAGAGAUCGGAAGGAACACCAGUGGCGAAGGCGGCUACCUGGACAAAUACUAGCUAGCG
rnacentral:rRNA from 1 species